AGAGUUUGAUCAUGGCUCAGGAUAAACGCUGGCGGCGUGCAUGAGACAUGCAAGUCGAACGGGUGACUCGGGCUUGCCUGGGUCGCUAGUGGCGGACGGCUGAGUAACGCGUAGGUGACCUACCCCGAAGUGGGGAAUAACUGCCCGAAAGGGUGGCUAAUACCGCAUGUGGUGGACGUUCGUUCGUUCCAUCAAAGCCGUGAGGCGCUUCGGGAGGGGCCUGCGUCCGAUUAGCUCGUUGGUGGGGUAACGGCUCACCAAGGCGACGAUCGGUAGGUGGUCUGAGAGGACGAUCACCCAGACUGGGACUGAGACACGGCCCAGACUCCUACGGGAGGCAGCAGUCGGGAAUUUUGCGCAAUGGACGAAAGUCUGACGCAGCAACGCCGCGUGAGGGAUGAAGGCCUUCGGGUUGUAAACCUCUUUUCUCAGGGAAGAUAAUGACGGUACCUGAGAAUAA
rnacentral:rRNA from 1 species